UUGACUGGCGAAUGAGAAUUGUUAUUAUUAGCACCACUGGCCGCGAGGCCAGUCGAUAGGUUGAAAGGACGGGCAGCCGGCCUUUCAGGUUAUCUCCUCAUCAGGCUAAUCACGGUUUUGACCCGGCUCUUGCCGGGUCUUUUUUUG
rnacentral:sRNA from 2 species